GACGAACGCUGGCGGCGCGCUUAACACAUGCAAGUCGAGCGAAGCGGCGGACGGGUGAGUAACACGUGAGUAACCUGCCUUAGACAUUGGGAUAGCCUCGGGAAACCGGGAUUAAUACCAAAUGGUCUAAGAUGGACUCGCGUCCCAUUAGCUAGUUGGUGGGUAACGGCCCACCAAGGCGACGAUGGGUAGCCGGUCUGAGAGGAUGAACGGCCACAUUGGAACUGAGACACGGUCCAAACUCUACGGGAGGCAGCAGUGGGGAAUAUUGCACAAUGGGGGAAACCCUGAUGCAGCGACGCCGCGUGAGCGAAGAAGGUUUUCGAAUCGUAAAGCUCUGUCCUAUGAGAAGCGGUAUCAUAGGAGGAAGCCCCGGCUAAAUACGUGCCAGCAGCCGCGGUAAUUC
rnacentral:rRNA from 1 species